GCUUGAGAAGCUUAUCCUAAGCAUUGGUCUUGUAAACCAAAAUUAAAGGAAUACAAUUUUCCCCGAGAC
rnacentral:tRNA from 1 species